UGGUUGUCCUGGGGAAAGGCGGUAGGCAUGAUUCUUAGGCAAAUCCGGGAAUCUUUAUGGCGAGCACCGAGACGAGUCCUAUGAGGACGAAGUGACUGACACCACGCUUCCAGGAAAAGCCACUAAGCUUCAGCUGUAGAAAAACCGUACCGUAAACCGACACUGGUAGGCAGGGUGAGAAUCCCAAGGCGCUUGAGAGAACUCGGGUGAAGGAACUAGGCAAAAUGGCACCGUAACUUCGGGAGAAGGUGCGCCCUUUGGUGUGGUCACGUGCGUGACUGAGCAUCGAAGGGUCGCAGUAACCUGGCCGCUGCGACUGUUUAUCAAAAACACAGCACUCUGCAAACACGAAAGUGGACGUAUAGGGUGUGACGCCUGCCCGGUGCUGGAAGGUUAAUUGAUGGGGUCAGCCGCAAGGCGAAGCUCUUGAUCGAAGCCCCAGUAAACGGCGGCCGUAACAAUAACGGUCCUAAGGUAGCGAAAUUCCUUGUCGGGUAAGUUCCGACCUGCACGAAUGGCGUAACGACAGCGGCGCUGUCUCCACCCGAGACUCAGUGAAAUUGAAAUCGCUGUGAAGAUGCAGCGUUCCCGCGGCAAGACGGAAAGACCCCGUGAACCUUUACUAUAGCUUUACAUUGAACGUUGAGUUCUUCUGUGUAGGAUAGGUGGGAGGCUAUGAAACCGAGACGCUAGUUUCGGUGGAGCCAUCCUUGAAAUACCACCCUGAAGUGCUUGACGUUCUAACCUAGGUCCGUAAUCCGGAUCGGGGACCAUGUAUGGUGGGUAGUUUGACUGGGGCGGUCUCCUCCCAAAGAGUAACGGAGGAGCACGAAGGUACGCUCAGCGCGGUCGGACAUCGCGCACUGUGUGCAAAGGCAUAAGCGUGCUUGACUGCGAGAUCGACGGAUCAAGCAGGUACGAAAGUAGGUCUUAGUGAUCCGGUGGUUCUGUAUGGAAGGGCCAUCGCUCAACGGAUAAAAGGUACUCCGGGGAUAACAGGCUGAUACCGCUCAAGAGUUCAUAUCGACGGCGGUGUUUGGCACCUCGAUGUCGGCUCAUCACAUCCUGGGGCUGUAGCCGGUCCCAAGGGUAUGGCUGUUCGCCAUUUAAAGUGGUACGCGAGCUGGGUUCAGAACGUCGUGAGACAGUUCGGUCCCUAUCUGUCGUGGGCGUUGGAGAUUUGAGGGGGGCUGCUCCUAGUACGAGAGGACCGGAGUGGACGUUCCGCUGGUGUUCGGGUUGUCAUGCCCAUGGCAUUGCCCGGUAGCUACGAACGGAAGUGAUAACCGCUGAAAGCAUCUAAGCGGGAAGCACGCCCCAAGAUGAGAUCUCCCGAGAGCUAGACUCUCCUUAAGGCACCAUCAAGACUAGGUGGUUGAUAGGCACGGUGUGGAAGUGCAGCAAUGCAUUGAGCUUACGUGUACUAAUGAGCCGUGAGGCUUGACCAA
rnacentral:rRNA from 1 species